AUGGCGCUCCUGCUGCUGCGCGGCUGCCUCGCCCCCGUCAACGCCGCCGGCCCGGCGUUCCGGCCAGCGGAGACGACGAGCCGGAUUGGUUACCGGCCGUCCCGGUUCCGUGCCAUCGUCGCCUCGGCCGCCGCGGCCUCGCCGUCCGGCGGCGACGGCACGACCGCCGCGGUGGACUCGGUGCUGCGUGGCUCGGAGGGACACAAGGCGCGCGACUACGGCGGGACCAACGGCGCCGCUGUUUCCGGCACCGCCAGGUCCACGACCAUCGAGACCACCGUCGAGAGGAUCAUCUUCGACUUCCGGUUCCUGGCUCUCCUCGCCGUCGCCGGGUCGCUGGCGGGCUCCCUCCUCUGCUUCCUCAAUGGCUGCGUGUACAUCAAAGAGGCGUACUGCGUCUACUGGACGAGCUGCGCCAAAGGUGUCCAUACAGGGCAGAUGGUCCUCAAGGUCGUGGAGGCCAUUGAUGUGUAUCUUGCUGGCACUGUGAUGCUCAUCUUCGGGAUGGGUCUCUACGGGCUGUUCAUCAGCAACGCGUCCAACGAUCUGCCCUCCGGAUCCGACCGGGCUCUGCAGGGAUCGUCGCUGUUUGGGAUGUUCGCUCUGAAGGAGAGGCCGAAGUGGAUGAAGAUCACGUCGCUGGACGAGCUCAAGACGAAGGUGGGGCACGUCAUCGUGAUGAUCCUGCUGGUGAAGAUGUUCGAGCGGAGCAAAAUGGUGAAGAUCACCACGGGGCUGGACCUGCUCAGCUACUCGGUCUGCAUCUUCCUCUCCUCGGCCUCCCUCUACAUCCUCCACAACCUCCACCGGCCCGAGCACGAGGAGUCGGUCAUGCCCCAUUUGUAA
rnacentral:rRNA from 1 species